AUUGAACGCUGGCGGCAGGCCUAACACAUGCAAGUCGAGCGAGCGGCGGACGGGUGAGUAAUAUCUGGGAAACUGUCUGAUGGAGGGGGAUAACUACUGGAAAAGGUAGCUAAUAACGCAUACCAUCAGAUGUGCCAAGAUGGGAUUAGCUAGUAGGUGGGGUAACGUAUCACCUAGGCGACGAUCCCUAGCUGGUCUAGGCGGAUGACCAGCCACACUGUAACUGAGACACGGUCCAGACUCCUACGGGAGGCAGCAGUGGGGAAUAUUGCACAAUGGGCGCAAGCCUGAUGCAGCCAUGCCGCUUGUGUGAAGAAGGCCUUCGGGUUGUAAAGCACUUUCAGCGGGGAGGCGUUACCCGCAGAAGAAGCACCGGCUAACUCCGUGCCAGCAGCCGCGGGAAUAC
rnacentral:rRNA from 1 species